GGGCGAAUGGUUUAGGGGUAUAACGUUCGCUUCGCACUGUAGAAUCAUCUGCAACGGCAUUGCGAAAGGUCCGGGGUUCGAUUCCCCGUUUGUCCA
rnacentral:tRNA from 2 species